UAUGAUACUGCGCUACAAUUUGUAUUAUUAAAGCUUUGUUUGACAUGGGCUUACUUUGCUGAAAGAAAAGAAACUCUGCUGAAGAAUGGUGGAAUAUCCUAAACUGGGGACUGCUUGCCUGAUGUUUAAGCAGAAAAUGAAUAAUACAAAGAUAAGAAGAUGCAGCAUAAAUUACUAAUGGCAAAUUAACAGCACAUCCCCAGGACAACAGCAGUGGCAAGAACAUGGACGACACCUGUUAUGCUCCACGUUUAAGAGCACUUCGAUGGAAUUAUUUAUCAGCAUAAAAAUCUGAGGGCAUCUGACAGUGCAGAAAAUUUGAAGAACCUUUGAAGAACCUUGGUCUGCAGCCCACCCUGAACCUUAGCUCUCAAGUCACUGCAAAUAUCUGAGAUCUUGCCCACUUUGAAACAGUUUCCCCUGCAAAUCGAAGCAAACGGCACUUCGGGUUUUGUGUGGAUUACCAUUUGCUCCGACUGAAAGCACAGAGGAAAGGAACACAGAAGAAUGAAAAGCUGUUUCUAAAGCCAUAAAAUCCAUCCAUUCCAAUGACUUGGGAAGGUCAAGCUGUGAGCCUGAGAGUCUUGAGGGUGCUCAGCCCCAGACCAUGGUCUAAGGGCACACAGCUACUUUGCUAAAACUAAACAGACCUGGGAACUGACUUGAUGGAAGCCUACCUUGGAAUCCCAUGUAGGCCAUCUUGAGUUCCAAAGUAGAAGAAAGAGAGUGACUAUGUGGUGCAGCAGAUUGCCUCUAUCAUCCUUCAUCUCUGGAAAUGUAAGCUUCACUCUGGCUUAAGGUCACAAAUAAAAUGAUCUGGGUAAUUCGUGGAUGGAUGCUAGCAGUACAAAAGAGCCACACAUCUUAGCACGCUGUCAUGGUUGGAAGUCUUGGUGUUGAAAGGAAUUGAUGAUAGACUAGGAGAUGGAAGGCAGUUGACCCUAUGUGAAGCUAGGAGAAUUGCAUAGCAACAGGUAUGGGAAAACUACUUAAUCACCCCAAAGCAGAACCUUCCCAAUAUACCUCAUCUAGUCCUCAGUAUGCCCCUGAAUAAUACUUGCUGCUGGGGAAAAACAGAAGAGAGGGAUUGCCCUCACAUUUUCUGGUUGUGGGAUUCUCAUAGCCACCUGGUUGGUAACUGGGGGAAAUGGGAUGCUGAAAAAAAUAGGCAUUUGGUGUUAUCUGGCAGGGGUCUUCUUAUGAACGCUGCAUGCAUACUUUGGGAGUACAAUAGAGCCUCUUACUUUGUAUGCUGAAUGUGUUGAUGCAGUGAAGUGGGGUAUGGCUGCUGGAUAUGGAGGAAAUAAGGUUAGCCUGAAUACCCCUAAGACAUCCCUCACACAUUCCUUCAAUGUUUGUGUCUGGGUGGUGGUGUUCGAAACCCCUACCCCAUUCUGUUGCCAUGGUGGCUCACAGUGGGAAGGCUGGGCAAGGAGAUCUGAAUGCUAUAUUUGGACAACUGAGAAAUUCAGAUAACUUUGUUACUACAGGCGUUUCAUCACCUCACUGCUAGCAAUGCUUAGACUACAGCUCCAUUCCAGCUUUAAAAAAGAAAUGACAUUAACUGCAGCAUUACAGCAUGCAGUCAUGUCUGAAAUUAUUGAAAAAAGAUAACAAGUAUAUUGCAUUCUAAUCUAAUUAUCUAAAUCAUUUAAAUUAUUUAUAAGGGCCGCUUCGAGUCUUUGUUCUAAAAGGUCUUUAUAGACUGCACAUAAUUUAGUGUUCACACAGUUGAGACUCCGAGGAAACUUAAACAGUUCUCUUCUCUCUCCCCCCCCCUUUUAAUGCUCUGCAAAAGAAAAGAAACUCCACUAAUUGACAGCUUAAUUGCCCCUAUAACUGUUGAUUCUUAACCUUAUUCCAAAUACGAUUUGAGUAAAGAGAACAAUUCAGCACAAUGUUCCAUGUGCAACUGGUUUUGUGAAGCUGCCAUAGUAACAAGGACAGAAUCUGAACGUGCUUUUCUUCUGAAGGCAAACCUUGAUCUUUUAUGGACAUUAGGCAUGAUGGAGCCAGAAACAAAGUGCUUGCAGUCGGAUUGGUUUAGCUCCCCCAAGAGAAUUCUCAUUGCUGCUUGCUUGGCACGAAGAAAUGAAUUUUCACUGAAAGUUUCAGACACUGUGUGUGUUUCCUUUUAAUGCUUCCAGUAGGAGUCAGCAGGUUUUGUGUGUGAACAUUUAUCAUUCCUUAUUAAAUUUCUUAGUCGCCUUUUUCAAUAAAGGCCCGGGGCGACUUACAGAAAAUAGAAAGUACACAAAAAAUUGAAACACCAUUGAGGAGGUUGAAGGUGGGAGAGACAUUCUGUCAGGUAGGUAAAGGUAAAAGGUAAAUGAAGCCUGGAUGGUUAAGUCCAGUCACAGGUGGCUAUGGGGUGAGGCGCUCAUCUCACUUCAGGCUGAGGGAGCUGCCAUUCAUUCACAGUCAGCUUUCUGGGUUAUGUGACUAAACUUCUUCUAUUUCAGCAGAACACAGUGACGGAACCAGAGCACACGGAAAUUCCGUUUACCUUCCCACCACAAUGGAGUGACAGGAAAAGAGGCUUCAUUAUUCCCCCUGCUCUCCGCAUCCUUCGAUGAGACUUUAUUAUUCUCCCCAAUCAAUUUGGUACAAUGAAAGAAAAUUCUGAUCUGUGCAAGGAGCACUAAGGAAAACGUGAACUGAUCACAAGGAGUCAUUUGUUACUGACAGCAUCCAUCUUAUGUUCACAGAUGUUGCUCCACCUGCCCAGGAAGAAGGAAGGGAGGAGCAAGUAAUUAGGCAAAUCUAAAUGGUCACGGGAAGAAGCAUCUACAGUAAAUGAAGCUAAUAUUGUUUUCAUUUUCCUACAGGCAAAGAUGGUGACAUGGGAUCAAAGAGGGUUAGAAUAUUAUCUGCUGAGGAUUUACUUUCCCAUAAUGUGCAAAAAUAUGGCUUUUUGAAUAUAACUUGUAGACUGUUACUUAGAGGUAUUAAAGAUGAUCUGCUCAUCCAAUGGAAAACAAAAACGGGGGGGGGGGGGCAAAGCUUACUCCUCACAAGUGCCAACUGAAAAUCUUUGUUCAUUCUGAGACAAUGAAUAUUUACAAACAUUUUUAUUAGAGGAGGGCAAUAGAGUAGAGUGGGAAGGAGAUCAUGCAUGUAAUUGUUCCAGUGGGGAUGUUACAGCAAAAUAUGCCAUCAGCAGAAAUCGAGAUAGGAAUCAGCAACAAAACUGCUUCACCUGGCAUGCCUCUCUACAGAUGGAAAUGUGCCGAAGAAUAGCACAGGAAACACCACACCCCAUAUAUUUCCUUAGAAGUGUUCCUUUACCCCAAAGGCCUCACCACCAGUUGGAGAAAAUGACUGUGUGUUCAACUAGCCUGCGACUUAGAGUGAAAUCCUGCAUGUUUUCUGAGCACCUGUUAUGAAGUUCUGCAAGGUCUCACUAGUCCUUAACUUCCCAGGAUUUCAAUGCAUUACAAUUUCUUUAGGACUCUCCCCCCCCAACCCCCCCACCUUAAUUAAUUAGGCUGAAACAUCCUUCGUCUUUGCCACUUCCAAGAAAGGUAAAUGUUUGUGACAAUCCUACUCUCUUAACAUGGGAACAGAGUAACAGUAGGUUUGGAAUUACCAGGUGGCAAAGCCUGACUUAGCAUUCCAGAUUUGUGAUAGACCUCCAAUGACAUUUCACAGACCAUAUUUGUCUUAGGGUUUGAGUCUUAUCAGUGCCAUUCAGUUUGAGUGACAAGAAACCACAUGAAAACAAGUCCUGUCAAAACUCCCAAGUCAAGAGGUGCAGCUCAGUCAGACUAGUCCAUCACACAUAAAAUACUGGAGUCCUGAUGAGCUUGCAGUCAUGUUUGAUUUAGCAUUCCGUUGAUUUCAAUGGGACACAGCCAUGAGUAGCUUUUCCUGAAUUAUGCCUGCACGAUUAGCCUAUAAACAAACAGCAUAUUCCAAAGCAAUCCAAUUAGCCUAAAUUGACUGAGCAAAGACUUCAGUAUGGACUACCCAUACCCACUUACCAUUCACUGGUGCAGAGCAAUCCUAAACCCUUAUCUGCACUGUUGUGGGGAGGAUAGGAUGAAGCAGAGAUGUCCCUCCUCUGAGUCCCUCUGGGCUCCUCUGCAGUGGGACUAAACACUGGUGACGGCCCUUGCUGUAGUUGCUGAAAGUGUACACUACCACUGAUGGUGCUCCCACAGGCAAUAGCCAUCAUCAGGACUGUAAACGGGGCAUUACAGGGGAAGGAUGAGGGUGGAGGAAGGCUGCCAUUGGAUCAUACGGAUCCAAGAUUGGUCUAUUUACUGGUGCUGGACCUAAUUUGAGAUCGUCUACUAUAUCAGCAUGCAGCUGAUGCAGCCAGAAAGGGAAUCAAAGGACCACCAACUCUUCCUUCCUGGCUGGCACAUGCAGUAGGGCUUCAGGUGCAGUGGUGAUUCCACUCCAUCCCACUGUUCCUAGUCAGGGCUUUGAAUGCCUCCCUUAAUGCAACAACAAUAGGUCUGGCACUGAUGGAAGUUCUUACUUUAUUAUUGUUUUCUGUCAACACCUCCUGUACAAAAAUAAGGAUACAGAAAGGAAGACACACUUGCUGGCAAGCUGAUGUGUGAAGUUGUCAGGAUCGGAACGUUUAUCUGCAAUGCCUUUCUGACAUGCAUGCUCUAUCCAUGCAUUUUUUUUGGCAUGGCAAUAUGAGUUCUUCCACAUGCAAAAAUGUUUCCUGCUGGCCAAAGUCUUCCUUCUCGCGGCCUAUCUUGCUAUUGUUUACAAAACUUGCAACAUAAGCAGAAUGGUUGUACAAGUGGUUGGAUAUUUAAAUGGUUCUUUGUGGUUAUUUUUGCGGCAAGUUUUUAUAGUACCCUUGCUGGUGAAUUUGCUAUUUGCUUUUUGUUCCAUUUCUCAUUGAGCUCGGAUCUGGUCAGUAAAUGUUUGUGCAGGAAUUAAUGUAUGCCGUGCCACUGAACGGACUGAGCUUAUUUAAAUGGAUUUAUUUGUGUACAGUAUAGCUAAGGAAGUGGGAGGGAGUCCUGCCUGCUAUUAAGAGGACAUUCAGAUGGAACGCACCCAUGCCUGCUAGAUCAUUUCAUUACAAAAUGAUAUUUGCAACCUAUAAAUCCUUGCCCUUCUGUAAAGUGUAAAGGUGUGUUGGGUAAAAUGUCCUGUGGAGACAGCUAACAUUCUGGCUCUAUACAAAUAAUUUUAAAUAAACCCAAAGUAUUUGCAUAUGUACACUGCAGAUUAAAGGCAAAACAAAAUGGCUACACCUCCUAGUACAAUCAAUGGGGCAGGCUCAGUGUGUGAUUAAAUAAUGAAUAAAAUAUCAUUUCACAUGAUAAUGUUAUACUGUAAAUAAUUCCAUUUGUUUACUCUAUGUCUGGCAUUGAAGUUCACCUCCCUUGGAGGUUUCUCUGACUUUUGAUGCUGUUUUGUUUUGCAUAUGUUUAUACCACUCAACAUGGCAGUCUACACGUAUAUACUGAUAAUUCUUUAUUUUUGACUAGUGAUCAUGAAGGGACUAUUGUUAUGAGUCCCAAGCAUCACUGGGCUCAGCAGCAGAGUGGCUGGUUGAGAUGGAGGAAGAGGAGCAGGAGGAGGAUGACAUGGCAGGGGGCUGAGGCUGGAGAACAGAGGCUUUCCCCUUCCAGGAGAUGGCUGCCCCAGCUGAGGAUUCAUGUCUCCUCUUUUCUUUCUUCCCUCUUGGGAAGAGGAGUGCAGCCAUGGAAUCGAGGGAGGGCUUCAGCCCACCACUAGGGUUGGAGGAACUGCAGUCAGAAGAGGAGGAGACAGCCUGUUUACUGAGGACCUGGCAGAAUUCCUGGCAGUGGGAAUAGACACAGUCUUCCCUGAUGCAGUGCAUGUCUGCAGGUUUGGAAAUCUCUCCAGGCACAAGACUCUUGUGAAUAAGCGCACCUUCCUCUAACUUAAAAAGCUUGGUAAGUGGGCAUGCCAACCUAUUGGGACAUCUCCAUUGCUUCCAUGGAGUUCUUGCACUGAUCUUGGACUUUUUAAACUUGGGCUGCAGCUCCCAAACUGACUAGCCUUGCCUUUCCUGUCACCUAGCCCCAAUAGAGAUGCUUUUGUGAGUCAUUAGCUGUUGCUGAGCCUGUAAUUAUUCUCUCUGUGAACAAAAAAUUCUUUCUUACUCUCAAGUAAAUGUCUCUGUCAUGGUCUGAGUGGGAGGAAGUUCAGCUCUAAAUAUAAUAACAAUAACUAUAUUAAUAAAUGUUGGUAUUAUUAUUUAUUCAAUUUAUAUACCAACCUUCAUCCAGAGUUCUCAGGGCUGUGUACAACAUUAAGAACAUAAUUAAGAACAUUAAAUAAUCAUAACAACAGUCCCACCCACAUGGCUGAAGGCUUGGAUAAAGAUGAAUGUUUUUGCCUGGUGUCUAAAGACAUGUAACGAGAGUGCCAGGCAAGCUUCUCUGGAAAGAGCAUUCCACAGGCAGGAAACCACCACGGAAAAGGCCUGUUCUUGUGUUGUCACCCUCCCAACCUCUUGGGGAGUGGGGACAUAGAGGAGGAGGGCAAGUGCAGGGUCUGGGCCAGUUUGUAUGGGGAGAAGCGGUCCUUAAUAUAUUGAGAUCCUGAGUCAUGUAAGGAGCUGAUUCAUUGGUUUGGAGAACUCCCUUUUAGAUGGGAUUACUUUUUAUAUGGGUUUACUUAAAGGUUGGUUUUUUUAAGUUACAAUAGUUUUGCAGGUCUAUAUUUCUGUGGAUGAUCAACCAAUGUGAAGCACCAUUAAUAAUAAAUUAUGCUUUCAGUGACUGAUG